rnacentral:rRNA from 1 species
GACGAACGCUGGCGGCGUGCUUAACACAUGCAAGUCGAGCGGUAAGGCCCUUUCGGGGGUACACGAGCGGCGAACGGGUGAGUAACACGUGGGUGACCUGCCCUCAGCUCUGGGAUAAGCCUGGGAAACCGGGUCUAAUACCGGAUAUGACUCCAUGACGCAUGUUGUGGGGUGGAAAGCCUUGUGCGGCUGAGGAUGGGCCCGCGGCCUAUCAGCUUGUUGGUGGGGUGAUGGCCUACCAAGGCGACGACGGGUAGCCGGCCUGAGAGGGCGACCGGCCACACUGGGAUUGAGACACGGCCCAGACUCCUACGGGAGGCAGCAGUGGGGAAUCUUGCGCAAUGGGCGAAAGCCUGACGCAGCGACGCCGCGUGAGGGAUGACGGCCUGGUGUAA